AAAUAGCGUUAAGGAUAGCAGCGACAUCCUUUUUACAACAGUUAGAGUUAUCAAACUCUAACACGUAAAAAGAUAUAGCGAAUAGCCUGUAAAAAC
rnacentral:sRNA from 1 species